rnacentral:rRNA from 1 species
AUUGAACGCUGGCGGCAGGCCUAACACAUGCAAGUCGAACGAGUGGCGGACGGGUGAGUAAUGUCUGGGAAACUGCCUGAUGGAGGGGGAUAACUACUGGAAACGGUAGCUAAUACCGCAUACCAUCGGAUGUGCCCAGAUGUGAUUAUCUAGUAGGUGGGGUAAAGGCUCACCUAGGCGACGAGCCCUAGCUGGUCUGAGAGGAUGACCAGCCACACUGUAACUGAGACACGGUCCAGACUCCUACGUGAGGCAGCAGUGGGGAAUAUUGCACAAUGGGCGCAAGCCUGAUGCAGCCAUGCCGCGUGUGUGAAGAAGGCCUUCGGGUUGUAAAGCACUUUCAGCGGGGAGGCGUUAAACGCAGAAGAAGCACAGGCUAACUCCGUGCCAGCCGCCGCGGUAAUAG